CAGAAGAGGAAGUGCUGUCGUAGCAUGCAAGUGUUCAAGGACAACACUUAAAGAGAGAAGAUGGCAGAACUUGAACUGAAGAAAUUAAAUAUCACAUGAUUGAGCGAGUUAGAACUUUGUUCUGUUCUUAUCAGCAUCAAAAUUAAUUUGCAAUGAUGAGUGUGUGUGUGUGUGUGUGUCUUUCAGAGGCCAGUUAAGCUGAAAAUCUGUGUUUGUGUGUCGUCAGAGUGCUCUUUCCUGGUUUAGAGGGCGUUGCAUCACUUGACAGAUAUAUAGUUCAUAGAUUUCACAGAUAGACAGCAAGAUACAGGGAAGGAGAGAGCGAGAAAAAGACAGACAGCGUUCAAAGAAAGACAAAUUCCUGCCUCAAGGAGACUACAGGACAGGUAUGUAUGCAUUUUAAGACUGUGUGAGCUGUGUCAAUGUGAUUAGAAAAACUAACUACUGUAUAUUGUCUACUGUGACACUAAUUAAAAAUCCAUACAUCAAGUGCACCGCUGAUGCUUUAAGCACAAUAGAGGAAACAAGCACCUAGCUUUCAUUCAUACAUUUGUUAUUUGAAUUGUAAAGAACAUUUGGAGACCCUUCAGCAGACAAGCCUACAAAUACAAACAUGCACAUUGCUUUAAGGCAACUUGUUAAGUGUGGUUUGUAGGUUUUCAGUUUCACUUCAUUUAAAUGCUGUCUGACUACAUGCAAAUGACAACCCAUAUCAUAUCCUGCAGUUGUUAAGUGUUGCUGUCCUGCAAGAAGAGUCUUCCAUUUUGCUCUUUUACUGACAGACUGUGCAGCACUAGAUCUGUUUCCUCACUUUCCGGUCACAUGUACACAAGCACACACAUGAACACCUACUCAAAAACGGAAAUGAAACCUUUUCAUGCGCAAACCCUUAGUGUAGCUAAAGGUUAAAUUCAGUCAAAUGAGAAAACAAACUGGUCCACAUACCUGACUGUCUCCUAGGGUCACAGGGAGCCAACAGAAGUAUUCCAUAAAAUGUUAAAAAUAUGAAUGCAUCUGCCAGUGUGUAUGAUAAACAAAAGCGAGAGAAACAUCUCCAGUCUACUAAGUAAAGAGAACAACAUUCUGUUGCCAUUGAGCCUGAGCACUUUAGUUGCAUGCCAUCUGCUGACACAUUUGUCAAUGUAAGCACUUAUUCCUUUACAAGUAUGCAAGAGUUACUUUUCAAGAAAAUAUCUGCAAGGCAAAUCUAUAUGUAAAAAAAAAAAAUACAUGGUUACACCAUAUUUUAAUAUUUCAUUGUUACAAUGUAAUUAAUUAUUGAACUUACUGUAUGUUACAGUUAGGUUUAGGGUUACUUGAAUGUAAUUAUGCAUAAUUUAUUGUUAUCAUACUUUGUUAUUAUACAAUAGUAAGUCCAUGUUACUGUCACGUUACGCUGUUUAGGAAGAACACUGGAGGCACAAAAGAACAUUUAGCUGACUUUAAUCAAGGAAACACUGAUAAUCAUCACAACAGACACUUGAGCAACACACGUAGUACACAAGUAGAUCCAACAAACACAACUGAACAGACUGGGGCUUAUAGAGAUAGGAUAACGAGGGACAGACAGGUGCGGGGAAUCCAAACCAAAUAAGGCAAAACAGGAACUGAAACACAUGACAAAAAAUGUCCAAUCCUGUCAGUUACAUGUAACAAGGACACCAUAAAAUUA
ensembl:lncRNA